GUGUCCAGUGUGAGGUGCAGUUGGUGGAGUCUGUGGGAGGCCUGGUGCAGCCUGGGGGGUCUCUGAGACUCUCCUGUGCAGCCUCUAGAUUCACCUUCAGCGACUAUGGCAUGAACUGGGUCCGCCAGGCUCCAGGGAAGGGGCUGGAGUGGGUUGCAAGCAUUAGUGGUGAUAGUAGUAACACAUACUACACCGAGUCUGUGAAGGGCCGCUUCACCAUCUCCAGAGACAAUGCCAAGAACACGGUGUAUCUGCAAAUGAGCAGCCUGAGAGCCGAGGACACAGCCGUGUAUUACUGUUAUAUCUAUAGCCAUGGGAGCAGAGGCUGGGAUUUUAUCCCUAAGGAGUCACUGAUUGUGCCCACAUCCUACUUCCUGACCACCUUCUGCAGACAAGCCCCUGGUGUGGAAGGAGAGGUCCCUGGGAACCAUGACCAGGACCCCAAGGAGGGCCUGGUUCUCUGA